rnacentral:rRNA from 1 species
GGUAACGCCUGCCCAGUGAAUUUUUAACGGCCGCGGUAUCCUAACCGUGCAAAGGUAGCGUAAUCACUCGUCCCCUAAAUAGGGACCAGUAUGAACGGCUAAAUGAGGACCAACCUGUCUCUUCUAAUUCAUCAAUGAAACUGAUCUUUCAGUACAAAAGCUGAUAUAUACCCAUAAGACGAGAAGACCCUGUGGAGCUUUAAAUCUAAAUCAAUAUAAAACUACUAACAAUCACACACUGAUUAAACGAUUUUUAGUUGGGGCGACUUCGGAAUAAAAAACAACUUCCGAGCACAAGAUCUAUUCUCAUUAAGACCAACAAGUCAAAACAAAAUUUGACCCAGUCACACUGACCAACGAACCAAGUUACCCCAGGGAUAACAGCGCAAUCUUCUUCAAGAGUCCAUAUCGACAAGAAGGUUUACGACCUCGAUGUUGGAUCAGGACACCCAAUUGGUGCAGCCGCUAUUAAAGGUUCGUUUGUUCAACGAUU